rnacentral:rRNA from 1 species
CCCGUAUGGCGAUGANCGGCAAGAGCCCAAAUUUGAAAUCGGGCAACCGAGUUGUAAUUUGAGACGGGACACUAGAGAGGAGGAAGGCGAUUAAGUGCCUUGGAACAGGCUGCCGUAGAGGGUGAGAGCCCCGUGAAUCGCUGGAGACCGAUCAAUUAGUGCCCGCCGAAGAGUCGAGUUGUUUGGGAAUGCAGCUCUAAGUGGGUGGUAUAUUCCAUCUAAGGCUAAAUAUUAGCGAGAGACCGAUAGCAAACAAGUACAGUGAUGGAC